rnacentral:rRNA from 1 species
UACGUAGGGUGCGAGCGUUAAUCGGAAUUACUGGGCGUAAAGCGUGCGCAGGCAGUUCGUUGUGUCCGUCGUGAAAGCCCCGGGCUUAACCUGGGAACUGCGAUGGAAACUAGCGAGCUGGAGUGUGGCAGAGGGGGGUGGAAUUCCGCGUGUAGCAGUGAAAUGCGUAGAGAUGCGGAGGAACACCGAUGGCGAAGGCAGCCCCCUGGGCUAACACUGACGCUCAGGCACGAAAGCGUGGGGAGCAAACAGG